rnacentral:rRNA from 1 species
GAUGAACGCUGGCGGCGUGCCUAAUACAUGCAAGUCGAGCGAACAGACGAGGAGAUUGCUCCUCUGCCGUUAGCGGCGGACGGGUGAGUAACACGUGGAUCACCUACCUCUUAGACUGGGAUAACAUCGGGAAACAGGAGCUAAUAAUGGCUCAUAUAUUGUACCGCAUGGUUCAAUAGUGAAAGGCGGUUUUGCUGUUUCAUAUAGCUGGAUCCGCGUCGCAUUAGCUAGUUGGUAAGGUAACGGCUUACCAAGGCAACGAUGCGUAGCCGACCUGAGAGGGUGAUCGGCCACACUGGAACUGAGACACGGUCCAGACUCCUACGGGAGGCAGCAGUAGGGAAUCUUCCGCAAUGGGCGAAAGCCUGACGCAGCAACGCCGCGUGAGUGAUGAAGGUCUUCGGAUCGUAAAACUCUGUUAUUAGGGAAGAACAGAAGUGUAAGAAACUAUGCACGUCUUGACGGUACCUAAUCAGAAAGCCACGGCUAACUACGUG